rnacentral:rRNA from 1 species
UACGGAGGGUGCGAGCGUUGUCCGGAAUCACUGGGCGUAAAGGGCGCGUAGGCGGCCGCGUAAGUCACUUGUGAAAUCCCGGGGCUCAACUCCGGGGCUGCAGGUGAGACUGUGUGGCUAGAGCUUGGUAGAGGCGAGUGGAAUUCCCGGUGUAGCGGUGGAAUGCGUAGAUAUCGGGAAGAACACCGGUGGCGAAGGCGGCUCGCUGGGCCAAUGCUGACGCUGAGGCGCGAAAGCGUGGGGAGCAAACAGG